AAAUCGGUCCUUUUCAGGACCAACAAAUUUUCAAUUAUGUUGGAA
rfam:Melipona quadrifasciata isolate 0111107301 unplaced genomic scaffold scaffold38, whole genome shotgun sequence.